rnacentral:rRNA from 1 species
GACAGAGGGUGCAAACGUUGUUCGGAAUUACUGGGCGUAAAGCGCGUGUAGGCUGCUUCGCAAGUCGGGUGUGAAAGCCCUGGGCUCAACCUAGGAAGUGCACUCGAAACAGCGAAGCUGGAGUCCUGGAGAGGAAGGCGGAAUUCUCGGUGUAGAGGUGAAAUUCGUAGAUAUCAAGCGGAACACCGGUGGCGAAGGCGGCCUUCUGGACAGUGACUGACGCUGAGAUGCGAAAGCGUGGGGAGCAAACAGG